CACCGCGGUUAUACGAUGGGCUCAAGUCGACAGGAUUCGGCGUAAAGGGUGGUUUAGGAGAAUAAAAUUAAAGUCGAAGCCCUCUCCGGCCGUCAUACGUGUGCAGAGGGAGUAAGCCCGACCACGAAGGUGACUUUAUCAAGCCUGAUUCCACGAGAGCUGGGAGA
rnacentral:rRNA from 1 species